rnacentral:siRNA from 1 species
UUCUAUUUUCGAAAGAUUCUGC